rnacentral:rRNA from 1 species
UACGUAGGCAGCGAGCGUUGUUCGGAAUUACUGGGCGUAAAGCGUGCGUAGGUGGUUUGUUAAGUCUGAUGUGAAAGCCCUGGGGCUCAACCUGGGAAUUGCAUUGGAUACUGGCAAGCUAGAGUGCGGUAGAGGAUGGCGGAAUUCCUGGUGUAGCGGUGAAAAUGCGCAGAUAUCAGGAGGAACACCGGUGGCGAAGGCGGUUCUCUGGGCAUUACCUGACGCUGAGGAGCGAAAAGUGUGGGGGAGCGAACAGG